CACCUCUUAGUGUCACAUCUGGAGAGUUUCCAGUACUCUACCAGUCUUGACUACGGGAGGGAGAGUCAAGCAGAGGCCUAUCCAUUCCAUUCCUAGCUUGGGCAGUGGCUAGCGAGUGGAAGACAAUCUGCUACAAGU
rnacentral:snoRNA from 1 species